CCUAGUUCCACAGGGUAGUCCUUUCUCUGUACGAAUGCAAAUUUUUUCCCCAUUAUAUAUUUAUACAAUUGCCUUCAGAAGGCAAUGCAUUUCCGAUUUCUACUUUGUAUCACUAUUAUUUCCAUAAGACAUAGGAGCAGAAUUAGGACAUUCAGCCCAUCAAGUCUGCUCUGCCAUUCAACCAUGGUGGUUUUAUUAUACCUCUCAACUCCAUUCUCCUGACUUCUCCCCGUAACCUUUGCCGUCCUUACUAAACAAGAACCUAUCAAUUUCCACUUUAAAUAUACCCAAUGAUUUUGCCUCCAUAGCCAUCUGUGGCAAUGAGUUCCACAGAUUCACCAUUCUUCUUCUCAAGAAAUUCCUCCUCAUCUCUGUUCUAAAGAAACAUCCUUGGGCAGAAGUUCCCACUUGUUUCAAAAAGGUAACAAAUAUACCAGUGCCUAAGAAGAAUAAUGUGAAUUGCCUUAAUGAUUAUCGCCCGGUAGCACUCACAUCUACAGUGAUGAAAUGCUUUCAGAGGGUGGUCAUGACUAGACUGAACUCCCGCCUCAGCAAGGACCUGGACCAAUUGCAAUUUGCCUAUCGCCACAAUAGGUCAACGGCAGAUGCAAUCUCAAUGGCUCUUCACAUGGUUUCAGACUACCUGGACUACACAAACGCCUAUGUCAGGAUGCUGUUCAUCGACUAAAGCUCAGCAUUUAAUACCAUCAUUCCCACAAUCCUCAUUGAGAAGUUACAGUACCUGCGCCUCUGCACCUCCUCUGCAAUUGGAUCCUCGACUCCCUAACCAGAAAACCACAAUCUGUGCGGAUUGGUGAUAACAAAUCAUCCUCGGUGACGAUCAACACUGGUGCACCUCAGGGGUGUGUGCUUAGCCCGCUGCUCUACUGUCUCAAUAUCCUUGACUAUGUGGUUAUGCCUAACUCAAAUACCAUCUUUAAAUUUGCUGAUGAUACAACUAUUGUUGAUAGAAUCUCAGAUGGAGACAGUGGGCAUGCAGGAGCGAGAUAUGCCAGCUAGUGGAGUGAUGCCACAGCAACAACCUGGCAAUCAACGUCAGUAAGACAAAGAGCUGAUUGUUGUCAAAGGAACAUAUACCAAUCUUCAUAGAGGGAUCAGAAGAGGAGAGAGUGAGCAGCUUCAAGUUCUUGGGUGUCAAGAUCACUGAGGAUCUAACCUGGUCCCAACAUAUCAAUGCAGUUAUAAAGAAGGUCAAUCAUAUUUGAAAAAUUGCUGAUGUCCUUUGAGGAUGUAAGAAGCAGAACCUGUAAAUGGAUUGCCUUCAGAUUUUCCAAAGACACUGGAAAAGAUGCUACACGAACGCCUUGGGGUGUUGGGCCAUUAAUUAACACCAAGGGAGUGUAACAUCACAACAUGGAGUCUUUAUGAAGCUUUAUGUGAAGAAUUCACCCCAUGCAGAUGGAUAAAAAUGCCUUAUACAAUAAAUGUCUUUAAUAAAAGCUUUGAC